AACGAACGCUGGCGGCAUGCCUAACACAUGCAAGUCGAACGAGACCUUCGGGUCUUGUGGCGCACGGGUGCGUAACGCGUGGGAACUUGCCCUUAAGUUCGGAAUAACUCCCCGAAGGGGGUGCUAAUACCGGAUAAUGUCUUAGGACCAAAGAUGUAUCGCCUUUGGAUGGGCCCGCGUUGGAUUAGUUAGUUGGUAGGGGAAAAGCAUACCAAGGCGUCGAUGCUGAGCUGGUCUGAGAGGAUGACCAGCCACACUGGGAAUGCGACACAGCCCAGAAUGGGACGGAAGGGAGGAGAAGAGAAUAUUGGAGGAUGGGGGAAGGCGUGAUACAGCCGUGCGGGGUGAGAGAGGAAGGGGUUAGGGUUGCAAAGCUCUCUUACACGGGGUGAUAGUGACGGUACCGGGAGAAUAAGCUCCGGCUAACUACGUG
rnacentral:rRNA from 1 species